AAAGAUUUAGUUUAAAUAAUAAAACAUUAACUUGUCAAGUUAAAAAUACAUUAAUGUAUUCUUUA
rnacentral:tRNA from 1 species